UGGGGAAUCUUGCACAAUGGGGGCAACCCUGAUGCAGCGACGCCGCGUGAGUGAUGAAGCCCCUCGGGGUGUAAAGCUCUUUCGGCAGGGACGAUAAUGACGGUACCUGAAGAAGAAGCUGCGGCUAACUACGUGCCAGCAGCCGCGGUAAUACGUAGGCAGCGAGCGUUGUUCGGGGUUACUGGGCGUAAAGAGUGCGUAGGCGGUGUUCCAAGUCUGUUGUGAAACCUCCCGGCUCAACUGGGAGGGUGCGGCGGAAACUGGGACGCUGGAGUACGGGAGAGGUAAGCGGAAUUCCUGGUGUAGCGGUGAAAUGCGUAGAUAUCAGGAGGAACACCUGCGGUGUAGACGGCUUACUGGACCGUAACUGACGCUGAGGCACGAAAGCGUGGGUAGCAAAC
rnacentral:rRNA from 1 species